GGAUGUGAGGGUGAUCUGGCUGCGACAUCUGUCACCCCAUUGAUCACCAGGGUUGAUUCGGCUGAUCUGGCUAGGCAAGUGUCCCCUUCCUCCCUCACCAUUCCAUGUGUGUCCCUCCCGAAGCAGUAUGCUCGGUGGAAGAGGAUGACCGUCCCAGACAGAGUGUACUGUUCUUCAGUCAAGGGUAUACAAUAGCUGUGCUUCCCUGCUAGAACCUCCAAACAAGCUCAAGGUCCAUUUGUAGGAGACAUAGGGGAGUCAAGCUUCCAAGAUUCCAGACACAUCCAAGUAAGGCACUGGAUGUGGCAGUUUGCAAUUCUCU
rnacentral:snRNA from 1 species